UUUUUUUUUUUUUUUUUGAGACAGAGUCUUGCUCUGCAAGCUCUGCCUCCCGGGUUCACGCCAUUCUCCUGCUUAGCCUCCCGAGCAGCUGGGACUACAUGCGCCCGCCACCACGCCUGGCUAAUUUUGUGUAUUUUUAGUAGAGAUGGGGUUUCGCCGUGUUAGCCAGCAUGGUCUCAAUCUCCUGACCUCGUGAUCUGCCCGCCUCGGCCUCCCAAAGUGCUGGGAUUACAGGCGUGAGCCACCGCGCCCAGCCGAACAGUCUGAGAGUCUUAAUGAUGACUAGGUGUUUGACAAAUGAAUAAAAUGGGCUUAGAAUUUAUAGCUGCUUUUGCACUCUCAUGGCAGACUAGUUGUGAUAUAGAAUACACGGCCUGCAAAUCCAAAAAUAUUGAUUAUCUGCCCCUUUACAGAAAAGGUUUGCCAAUCACUUUCUAGACUGUAAGCUCCUUCAGGUCAGAGACUAUUUUCUAUACUUCUAUCUUUAGUGUUUAGCAUAUAAUAGAUACUCAACAAAUGUUAUUUGAAUAAAUGAAUCUUUUUAAAAUGGAAAUAUUUUGCAUAUUUUACAGGUAAAAAGGCAAAGAGGCAAAUGGAAAAUUUUAAAGAAAGUCUCUUCAAAAAUGUUUAAAUUGAAAAAAUAUACUUACAUUAGCUGGGUCAGCUCUUUCAAUUAAUAUGGAACCUCAACUAUCUACAGUAAUUAAUUUUCCCCUGGCUCUGUGCAGCUGAGAUUUUGCUUAUCAGUGUUAGCACUGAAUUUUUAUGGAAGGACUCAAGUGCAAAGGUUGAAUGAAUGUGAGGUAGAAAAGUCCCCAAAGACGGCAAACUCUCUUCACCUAUUUUCAUAGCCAGCAGUGCCAGAAUUGAGUAAGAGUCAAAAGCUCUCCACCAUCAAAGACCUCAGGAGAAGCCACUCACCUCAUGGAUGACAUACUCUGCCUGCAUACCUGAUCAUUUGUCUGAAUGUCUCUAAUGCAAUGGCCAGCCCUGUACAGCCUGGAGCAUGAAUUUAUCAAAAGGAAAUUGGUUCCUAAAUGUAAAACUCAAUACAUCAAAAUCUACCAGGCAGACCAGUGAGAGACAGAAAGUGGAUUUAAUAUUGCAUUUGGCCAUUAUAGCCUCAAUCCAUCCGCCAUCGUUUACCCAAAGGCCUUCAAGGCAGCAGACGUGAUAAGCAAAAUUUUAUUCCCCUGAUGAAUUUUUCAGGGCCGACCUUAAUAUUGAAGCUUUCAAGAUGAGGAAUGAUUACAUUUGACUGGUCCUCAAAGAGCCUCAUCACUAAACAGUCAGCAUCUAUGGGCAGGACUGCUGGAAAGGAUUUUCAACCCAGCUCAAGCCAUUCAGUCAACAAAAUGUACUGGGCCAGAAGUCUAAGUUAGGCAUUCCAGGAUAUAAAAGAUAGUAUGGUAAUAGUCCUUGCUCUUAGAUAAUCCAUAUAGGAAAUGGAGAAAACAGAUAUAGAAGAAAAAUAUAGGGAAAGUCAUAUAGCCUAAGAAUGAGUACAGAUGAAAACAGAUGAAGGAACUGCAGGUAUCAGAGCUCUGGGGAGGAGGAUAGGGUUAUUUAGAACAUUCUCCAUGACGGAGACAGAGUUUAAAUGGUCAUUUGAAAAUAGCAAAGGUUAGUAGAGAAGAAUGCAAGAAGGAAACUUCAAACUGAUGAGCCUAGUCUGAAAUCUGUGACAGAGGGUAAUGAGCGAUGAAAGUGGUAAGAUGUGGGCAGUUAAUUAAUUGCAAGCAGUCCUUGAAUCGUGAACUGAGAAGCACAGACUUUAUAACAGGAGUAUCUUAACAGUUAGAGCAAUGUUACUUUGCAAAUUAUUUUCACAUGCAUUAUUUUCUCACAGUAAUCUUCUUCCUAUAGAUUGAAAUCCUCCCUUACUGUUCCUCCCCCUGGUACACUUCAUCCUCAGUACUUCAUCUACCUCACCUUCAAAUACAUGCUCAAGUCUCACCACUUCUGGGAAAUAGUUUCCUGAUUCCCAGACUAGAUCAAAUCCCCAUCUUCCCACAAUUUAUUCUCAGAAUACCAUGUAAAAUUCCCAAGGAAGACAAUCCAGGGAUAGGAUGGUGGCUUUGUUUCCCAAACUUCCCAGGGACUCAGGCCCUCUCUGGUCUUUCGCUCUACUAUGGCUUAUGGAGUCUCCCUCAUUCUCUUGAUCCAAAUGCAGCUCUGGCCAUUGUCCACAUUCCAAUCAGCAGGACAGAAGAAAGGGCCUCCACAUCAUCCCAAGUGCUAUCCUGAAGAACAGAGGGUUCACAUAUUCAUUGCAGGGGAACUCCGUGUUAUCCAUAAACUUGCUGCAAGGCAGAUUGUCUUCCUGCCACGUAAAGUCAGGAAAGGACGGACUUUUGAAGAGUGGAGACUGAGAGGGCUUGAGAUUUGUGUCUUUAAACAUUUACUGGUUGAGGGGUUAAGAUGGCGGAGAGGAGGCAGGACUUGCUUGCAGCUCCCACUUGGAUAGACGGAGCAGCCUGUGAAGAUUUACAUCAUGAACUUUUGCUCCAGCGACUACCACAGCAACGUACCAGGAAACCCGAGAGAAUCCACACACCCUUUGAAGGAACUUGCUGCGGGGUCCCUAAGACGCCAAAAAACUGAGUCUGCUUGCUUUCUCAAUGGGGAGGCUUGUGGUCUGAGGCAAAUUCUCAGCCCGGGUCACUGGCUUCCUGGAAACUGACUCCAAGCUGCUCACGGUGGGAGUGAGACGGGCCUUUAGGACUGCAGGCUGUGUGGGAGCGGGGUGAAACCGGUGACUGCUGGCUUUCCCCCACUUCCCUGGCAACUCAGCAGACUCAGCAGAGGGAGCCAUAAUCUCCCUGGGAAUAUAACUCCAAUGGACUAGGAGCCCCACCCCCAUCCCCCACAGCAGCUGCAGCAAGCCCCAUCCAAGGAGAGGCUGAGCUCAGACACGCCUAUCCCUGCCCCAACCUGGUAGUCUUUCUUUACCGGCCCUGGUGGCGGAAGACAAAGGUCAUAAUCUCUUGGGAGCUUUACGGCCCUGCCUACCGCCUGAGAAACCAGGAUACUUAACCAGGCCACACUAGGGCAAGUUUGUUUCCUCCCUAUAGUACUAUAUUGUACUUUUUUUUUUUUUUUUUUUUAUACGGAGUCUCUGUCGCCCAGGCUGGAGUGCAGUGGAGCCAUCUCGGCUCACUGCAACCUCCGCCUCCCAGGUUCAAGCAA
rnacentral:lncRNA from 10 species